rnacentral:lncRNA from 1 species
CAUGAACCAAAUGAAUCGUGGUUUUUAUUUUGUGUAUUUAUCUUGGGUAAUGCGCAUAAAACCGUUAUAUUAUUUGAAAGUAAGUCCCGUAAGCGGCGAAGAAGUUUGGAUUACGUACAUAGCUAUCUUGGACAUUAUUUGCGGUACGCUCAUGUAAAUACCUGAUUUAAAAUUGUCGAUGAAGACGAAGACAAAAAAAACCCCGGAAGACCUGUAACUUAUAAGUUUAACCGAGAGAGAGUAUAAAUAGAACAAUGUGGAUAUGACAAAGCAUAGCGAAAC